AUGGCGUCGAGCAGGGCGAUCUUGGCCAUGGGCCUCCUUGCCGCCGUGCUGUCCCCCGCCUUGUCAACGCGGUCGUUUAUCUCCAUGCCAGCCGACGUGAGUAGUCCUGUGACCCUGGCCAACGGCCUCUCCUACGGCUACCACGCCAACUCCUGCCCACAGCUGCAAGACAUCGUGUGGCCGAUCGUGGAGAGCGCGGUCCUGGGUGAGGUGGCCAUCGCCGCCGGCCUCCUCCGUAUCUUCUUCCACGAUUGCUUUCCUCAGGGCUGCGACGCGUCCGUCCUUCUGACGGGACCCAACAGCGAGCGGGACCUGCCGCCGAACCAGACGCUGCAGCCGCGUGCGAUGCAGCUCAUCGAGGACGUCCGCGUCAAGGUACACGCCGCCUGCGGCGCCACCGUCUCCUGCGCCGACAUCAUCGCCCUCGCCACCCGCGACGCCGUCUUCGUGGCCGGGGAAAGCGAAAUGUUCUACUUCUACGACCUGCCGCUCGGCCGGUUUGACAGCCUCGAGCCGGCUAAUAGCAGCGCCGUCUUCGACCUCCCGCAGUCCACCGCCGACGCCAACACGCUCAUCAACGCCUUCAAGAGCCGCAACCUCGAGCCGAUCGACCUCGUCGCGCUCUCUGGCGCGCACACCGUCGGGAAGGCGCAGUGCAGCUCCUUCAACAACCGCUUCUCCGAGGACGCCGACUUCGCCCGGAGGCUCGCCGCCAACUGCUCCAGCGACCCGAACCGGCUGCAGGACCUCGACGUGGAAACCCCCAUCGUGUUGGACAACCAGUACUUCAAAAACCUGAUGGAGGGAAAGGGGGUGUUCACCUCCGACCAAGUGCUCAUCAGCGACGGGCGCACCGACUGGGCGGUCAAAGGCCUCGCCGAGAACAAAUAUUGGUUCUACAGCCAGUUCCGUGACUCCUUGGUGAAGCUGAGUCAGUACCAACCCGGAGGAAACGUGGGCGAGAUCCGCCGCAACAGCUGCUUCGCGCCCAACGGACGGAGCAUUCCCGCCACCGCCGGUGACGAGGGGUUCGCAGCCUCUGCUUGA
rnacentral:rRNA from 1 species